UCCCUUCGGAUGUUAAGUGGACCUCCAUUGGGCGUUUGGUAACGUGGCAUUUGGACCAAAAUUGGACGUCCUGUUAAGGUCCAAUUCACGUCCCCUAGAAUGUCCGGUUAAGGUCCAAUUUACUUCCGAUUAAGGUCCAAUUUACGUCCGAUUAAGGUUCCAUUUACGUCCGAUUAAGGUCCAAUUUACGUCCUAUUAAGGUCCAAUUUACGUCCGAUUAAGGUCCAAUUUACGUCCGAUUAAGGUCCAAUUUACGUCCGAUUAAGGUCCAAUUUACGUCCGAUUAAGGUCCCAUUUACGUCCAAUUAAGGUCCAAUUUACGUCCUAUUAAGGUCCAAUUUACGUCCGAUUAAGGUCCAAUUUACGUCCGAUUAAGGUCCAAUUUAUGUCCGAUUAAGGUCCAAUUUACGUCCGAUUAAGGUCCAAUUUACGUCCGAUUAAGGUCCAAUUUACGUCCGAUUAAGGUCCAAUUUACGUCCGAUUAAGGUCCCAUUUACGUCCAAUUAAGGUCCAAUUUACGUCCUAUUAAAGUCCAAUUUACGUCCGGUUAAGGUCCAAUUUACGUCCGAUUAAGGUCCCAUUUACGUCCCAUUAAGGUCCAAUUUACGUCCUAUUAAGGUCCAAUUUACGUCCGAUUAAGGUCCAAUUUACGUCCGAUUAAGGUCCAAUUUAUGUCCGAUUAAGGUCCAAUUUACGUCCGAUUAAGGUCCAAUUUACGUCCGAUUAAGGUCCAAUUUACGUCCCCUAGGACGUCCGAUCAAGGUCCAAAUUACGUCCGAUUAAGGUCCAAUAUACGUCCCCUCGGACCUUAGAUGGACGUCCAAUGGACGUUCGGUAGCGCGACAUUUGGACCAAAAUAGGACGUAUAAAGGACGUUCCUCGGACGAAAACGGACGUCCAAUGGACGUCCCUAAAGUCCGUGAAGGACGUCCAAUGGACGUCCAUUGGACGUCCUUGUGCUAUUAGGGCAUAUACAUUCAUAAUAAGAUGUUUCAUGUU